rnacentral:tRNA from 1 species
AGAUAAUGAAGUAAUAAAAAUUACAUUUAGUUUCGACCUAAAAUUAGGAAAUAUUCCCUUAUCUA